UUUUUAUAACCUUUGAGACCAGACUCAUACAUGUAUAUGGUGUUCAUCAUAUCCAUAUCAAUGCUUUUCUUUCGAUCCAAUUUCCUUGGAACUCACAUAGGAUAACCACUAUCAAAUGCAUUAGCUGCAUGGGCAUCAGAAAUUGAUCUGAUAAAAUAAUUUGCACUUUGUAUAAUAAUAAAUCAAUGUUGUCUGGUCAACAUUAGUCCCGAAGGUUUGAUAUUUGCUGAAUGUGUAUUAUAUAUAUAUGUUAGUGAUCUGAUGAAAUAAUUCAUAGAGUUACUCCCUCACUGGUCCCACAUUGUAUCAAAUUUCCAGGGACCUUCCUAGACGUACAUUAAACAUACAUAUGUAAUAUUGAUCAAUAUACUCAUGCAUGUGCUGUUUUCUAUUCGUUCUUUAAAGGUACACCACCAGUCUAAUCUACAACUUAACAGAGGAAUUUUAAAACAGUCCUUCCCAGUAACAAAAAAGAAAUUAUCCUACACACGGGUACCAGGAUCCAAAGGUGGUCAGACAAAACUUGUGUUCAAAGGGAAGUAAUCCUUUGGACAUUCCUGAAUCAUCGCUUCUGUGAUAAGACUUCUGGGUCACUGAUUACUGGUAUAUCAUACUGGACUCUAAUCCCAAAGGAGUUGCUUUGUAUACAUCUAUUUAUGUUCAAGUUGAUGUACCAGUUGUAUGAUGGAUUUUUUUGUAUUCAAUAAUCAUUCAUAUUGAAUAAAAUACUUUGAAAGCCUUGUA